rnacentral:piRNA from 1 species
UGGACGUCAAGAUUUGGUAAA